AACGUCCAUAUCACGCCGAAUACACCGGUUCUCGUCCGAUCACCGAAGUUAUCGGGCGCGGUCAGUACUUGGAUGGGUGACCACCUGGAAUAUCGUGUGAUGUU